GGGGGGGGGGAGAGGGGUUGGCGGCUGAACGUAAAAAAUUUCCAGAUGUUUUUAUGUAAGCAAAGUAAGAUACCAGGUCAUACAAACAUAGUUGGCAGAACCAUGGGGGAUAGCGAGCGAUAGUCCCCCCAACACUAUGAGUGGUGGGCUGGCUAAGCCAUACCACUUAUUGUUAUACUUAAAAUAACAAUAAGGAAUGGUUAAUUAAUGUAUCAAUAUGGUAUCAAUUAUAAACACAAUAAUAUUUGUUUACGUCACCUCCCUUAAAGUAUUGAGCUUAAAAUAUUAAAAAAAGACGAUUAAAAAUCCC